rnacentral:rRNA from 1 species
UGAGGAAUUUUGGUCAAUGGGGGAAACCCUGAACCAGCGACGCCGCGUGUGGGAUGAAUGAGCUUUGCUCUGUAAACCACUGUCGGAGGGGAAGAAAAGCAGCCUUAGGCUGCCGGGACUGUACCCUAAAAGGAAGGAUCGGCUAACUACGUGCCAGCAGCCGCGGUAAUACGUAGGAUCCGAGCGUUGUCCGGAAUUACUGGGUGUAAAGGGUGCGCAGGCGGAUUUGUACGUCAGAGGUUAAAUGUCACCGCUUAACGGUGAACCUGCCUUUGAUACGGCAAGUCUUGAGUGUGAGAGAGGUAAGUAGAAUUCCUGGUGUAGCGGUGAAAUGCGUAGAUAUCAGGAGGAAUACCAGUGGCGAAGGCGGCUUACUGGCUCACAACUGACGCUUAGGCACGAAAGCGCGGGGAGCAAACAGG